rnacentral:rRNA from 1 species
GGAAUAUUGGGCAAUGGGCGCAAGCCUGACCCAGCCACGCCGCGUGAGUGAUGAAGGCCUUCGGGUCGUAAAGCUCUGUGGGGAGAGACGAAAGCCCCUUGGCUAAUAUCCAAGGGUUUGACUGUACCUCCUUAGCAAGCACCGGCUAACCACGUGCCAGCAGCCGCGGUAAUACGUGGGGUGCAAACGUUGCUCGGAAUCAUUGGGCGUAAAGCGCACGUAGGCGGCGCAGCAAGUUGGAUGUGAAAGCCCUCGGCUUAACCGAGGAAGUGCAUUCAAAACUACUGGGCUUGAGUACAAAAGAGGAUCGCGGAAUUCCCGGUGUAGAGGUGAAAUUCGUAGAUAUCGGGAGGAACACCAGCGGCGAAGGCGGCGAUCUGGGUUGAUACUGACGCUGAUGUGCGAAAGCGUGGGGAGCAAAC